rfam:Candidatus Nomurabacteria bacterium RIFCSPHIGHO2_02_FTLL_41_18 rifcsphigho2_02_scaffold_10363, whole genome shotgun sequence.
ACUGACCUCUGGUGUAUCUGCUGUCCUGCCAAGGGCACCGCAGAGUAGCUAUGUCGGGAAUGGAUAACCUCUGAAAGCAUCUAAGAGGGAAGCCAGCUUCAAGAUUAGGAAUCGUUAAGAACCCUGGGAGAUGACCAGGUUGAUAGGCUUUAGGUAAAAGCGCAGUAAUGCGUUAAGCCGAGAAGUACUAAUGUUUCGAUUCCUGUUAAGAA